rnacentral:rRNA from 1 species
AACGUAGGUGGCGAGCGUUAUCCGGAUUUACUGGGCGUAAAGGGUGUGCAGGCGGGCUGUUAAGUGGUGUAUGAAAUAUCCCGGCUCAACCGGGGGAGGUUAUGCCAGACUGGCAGUCUAGAGAGCGAGAGAGGGACGUGGAAUUCCGGGUGUAGUGGUGAAAUGCGUAGAGAUCCGGAGGAACCCCAGAGGCGAAGGCGGCGUCCUGGCUCGCAUCUGACGCUCAGACACGACAGCAUGGGGAGCGAACGGG